CAAUACUGAUCUGAUUGUUGAUAUGCAGCCUGGCAGCUUGGAGAGCAGCAUCCAGCUGAAAUGGGUCAGAAAAAAUCACCACCAGUAUAGCAGACAGAAGAAGCUGAUGCCAAGAGAGAGUGAGAGAGCUUUUCCUUCGUCUCCUGUUGAGAAGAGGACAGGAGAGCAAACAUACAGCUUGGAUUAAUGCCUCGUAUACUCUUGUUCACAAAGGAAAUAGAAAAGAACCCAAAAACUUGCUUAAACUGCAAAAACAGAUGAGUUUUAUGCUACUGCACCCUCCUGUUAUAUAUACUAGAAUCCUAUUUACGAAAAUGGAGUCAUCUUGUGAGUCUUUAACUAUUAAACAUUGUCAGAUUUGUAUGUAAAAUAUAUUAAAUGGCAGUUAUUUGA